CUUCGUCAUGCCUCCAUGUGACGUUUCGUCUCGGCGUCUCGACCUUGUGACGCGGCCUCGGACGCGCGCGAGGGCACCUCGGCACUCUGCGACGCGCGCGCGACUCGGCGCGGUCGUCGCGGACGCGUCGCGAAAGAAGAAAAAAAGUCGAGCAUCGAACCGCGCGUCGUUCGAGCGCCGCGCCGCGGCGCGCGCGACGCGCGGACGCGCGAGAUGGGGCGCGUUGAAGCGGCGUUUCUCGGCGCCGGAUCCCGCCUCGGGCGGCGCCUCGGGCGUCGCGCGCGCGACUAGCAAGACACGAAAACGAAGGAAAGAAAGCGCGUACGAAUUCUUUUGAAUCGAUGUGCGCGGCGAUGGACGCGCGCGCGCGCGUUCGCGCGCCGACUCGCGCGAUCGUCGUCUCCGAGACGGGCCGCGCAGACUGACCCUCGCGCAGAGGCCGACGCCAGAAGACACGCGAAACAAGGCGGCGAUAGCGUCCAAACUAUCGCUCGCCUGCGGCAGGUUAACCCAGGGUUGACCCAAGGUUGACCCAGCCGCAGUACUACACCCUCGCGGCGCGAGGACGCGAAGGAGGGACAGCUCGCUCGCGCGAUCUCGUCGAACGACCUAGAGCCCUCGAAAGUAGCGAUUGUAGUACGUCGCGUCACUCGCAGCCUCGCGCGAUGCUUCGAGUCGCCGCCGCGCGCGCGGUCGCGCGCACCCUCGCCCCCG
rnacentral:lncRNA from 1 species